rnacentral:lncRNA from 10 species
CCGCCAUGUUAGGAGUACUGGGACGAUUCCGCGGAGCCGGGCAGAGGUUUUAGGGGCGUCCGAAGAAAUCGUUGUUGGAAGGUGACCAAGGUGGAAAGAGACGUUGCUUUGGCCCUGCAAGUAAGAAGAGAGAGGGAAUAGCCUGAAGGAGUAACACUAAAUUUAAAAUGACACUUUUUUACCAACCAGCGAAAGCAGAUGUUCAAAGGGGAUAUUGGCCAGAGUCUGUCACACUAAGAUGAGAAAUGUCCUUUCUUCCUGAAGGUGUCUGAUGUGUAAAAAUAUGAUAUACUUUGUGCUGUUUCCUCCCUUCCCUUUUGCAUAUUAUUCUGAAACAACAUUAACUAGUUACUUUGCGUCAUUGAAGGUAUGCACUUCCCCUCUAUGUUAGGAGUGAAUAAAAUUAAAAAUAGAUCCUUAUAACAAAGAAAGGCAGAUAGAAUGAUUAAAAAUGACCAAAACAUGUUAGAAACAGUCUCUCAGGUGUAUGCAG